rnacentral:lncRNA from 1 species
UCUAUGUUCGUUCUUAGUUCCUUUGGUUUCUAAUCGUUGGGGCAACAUCCUAGUUUCUAUCUAUGUUCUUUGUUAGAUCCUUCGGUUUCCCACCAUUGGGAUGUCAUCCUUUGAUUGCUCAUCAUUGGAACAUCAAUCUUAGUUCUAUCUAUUUUCAUUCUUAGUUCCUUUAGUGUCCUAUCAUCAGGAUGUGAUCCUAGGUUCUAUUUAAGCUUAUUCAUUUGUUCCUUUUGUUCUCAUCAUUGGGACGUCAUCCUAGGUUCUAUAUAUGUUCCUUUUGUUUUUCAUCACUGGAAUGCCAUCCUAGGUUCUAACUAUGUUGAAUUUUUGUUCAUUUGGUUUCCAAUCAUUAGAAUAUGAUCCUAUUUUCUACCAAGAAUUAGUCGAGAUUGUUUCUUUCGCUUCUCAUCAUUGUGACGCCAUCGUAGUUUCUGUCUAUGUUCGUUCUUAGUUCGUUUGGUUUCCAAACAUUUGGAUGCCAUCCUACGUUCUAUAGGUUCAUUGUUAGUUCCUCUGGUUUUCAAUCAUUGGGAAGUCAUCCUAAGCUCUAUCUAUGGUUGUUCAUUUGUUCCCUUAAUUUCUCGUCAUUGGGAACUCGUCCUAGGCUCUAUCUAUGCUCAUUGUAUGUUCCUUCGGUUUCCAAUCAUUGAGAAGGUAUCCUAGGUUCUAUCCAUGCUUAUUCAUUUGUUCCUUUCGUUUCUCAUCAUUAGCAUGCCAUCCUAGGCUUUAUUUACGUUAAUUCUUUCCUCCUAAGGUUUCCAUCAUUAGGAUGCAAUCCUGGUUUCCAUCUAAAGCUUAUUUCUCUGCUCCUUUCGGUUCUCAUCAUUGAGACUCAUCCUAUGUUCAUUUAAAGCAUAUUCGAUUGUUCGUUCGAUUGCUUUAUGGGAUCUAUCUACGGUUAUUUGUUUAUUCUUUUAGUUUCUAACAUUGAAACGUAAUCAUAGGUUUAAUCAUCCUAAGUUCCUUUUGUUUCCCAUCAUUGCGAAGCCAUCCAAGGUUCGAUCUAAGCUUAUUCGUUUCUCAUCUUAAGGACACCACCUUAUAUUCUAUCUAUGUUCAUUCUUAGUUCCAUCGGUUUCCCAUCAUUGGGAUGCCAUCCUAGGUUUUAGUUUCUAUUUAAAGCUUGUUUAUUUGUUCCUUUUGAUUUUCAUCACUAGGAUGCCAUCCUAGGUUCUAUCUAUGUUGAAUUUUCGUCCAUUUGGUUUCCAAUCAUUGGAAUGUCAUCCCAUGUUCUACCUAAGAUUAGUCGAUUGUUUCUUUCGUUUCUCAUUGUUGUGACACCAUCGUAGUUUGUAUCUAUGGUCGUUCUUAGUUCCAUCAUUAGGAUGCCAUUCUACUUUCCAUCUAAAGCUUAUUUCUUUGUUCCUUUUGUUUCUCAUCAUUGAGACUCCAUCCUAUGUUUUAUCUAUGUUCAUUCUUAGUUCAUUUAAAGCAUAUUCCUCUGUUCCUUCAAUUGCUCACCGUUAGAACGCUAUUCUUGGUUCUAUCUAUUUUCAUUCUCAGUUCCUUUAGUUUCCCAUGCUUGAGAUGUCAUCCUAGUUUUUAUCUAAACUUAUUCGUUUGUUCCUUUCCUUUCCCAUCACUAGGAUGUCAUCCAAGGUUCUAUUUAUGUUCAAUUUUGGUUCCUUAUAUGUUUUGAUCAUUGGGAUGCCAUCCUGUUUCUAGCUAAGCUUAGUCGGUUGUUUCUUUGUUGUAUCAUCAUUCUGAUGCCAACCAAGUUUCUACCCGUGUUUGUUUUUAGUUCCUUUGGUUUCCUAAGAAUUGGAUUCUAUCCAAGGUUUUUUUUCUAUGUUCAAUGUCAUUUUCUUUGGUUUCCAAUCAUUGUGAAGUCAUCCUAGGUUCUCUCUCUAAGGUUAUUUGUUUCUUCAUUUGGUUUAUCAUCAUUGAGACGUCAUCCUAGGUUAAAUCUAUGCUCAUUGAGACUUCCUUUUGUUUCCCAUCAUUGCGAAUCUGUCACACCCCUGUUUUUUUUUUUUUUUUUUCGAACUUUACAAUUGAUACUCAAAUACAGUAUAAGUGCUCUAAAAAAAAUGAGGAUACAAAAAUUUAAAUGUCGAGUUUCUGCUUGAUUUGGUGCAAAAAGAGAAUAUGCAAAACUUGUUAUAAAGAGUACAUCCUAUAUUAAACUUUAUAACAAUUAGUUAACAAAAUAUGAUUCAUUUUACAAAAGAAACUUGUACUAUGUUAAUUUACAUAUAUAUCAAAACCCCAUGGUUCACUACGGGUAGCCCAUACUACAAGUGUACCUGACAAAUAUUUAUAUUACAUCAUUCUUAAAAAGAGAUUCAGUCUUUAACACAAAGGGAAAGUCUCAAAACACUUUCAAUGCGAGCAAACAACAUCCAAUCACAAUAAAGCAAUGCUCAAGCAUUAUUUCCAACAUAGGUCUUUUGACCUGCAUCUAAAGGUGGAAGGGAUAGGGUGAGUUCACAACUCAAUAGGAAAGUUUAUAAGCAUCCUAGACAUACCCAUAAAAACCUUGAAUUAAACGUAUAAUAGCAUGCAUGAUAAACAUUUUAUAACCAUUAAUAAAUAUACAAUCAUGUAAAACAUGUAUGCAUGUGUUUGCUAGUUUCAUCUUUGCUUUUCCUCAUCUAUCCUUUCACAACUGAUAAACUACUAACCCCCACCAAUCUACACAUCAGAUAUCAAUUCUCCACAAGAUACUUGGUCAAUAUAAUAAUAACUAUUUUGAGACAUUACCCCAGAGUAAGUCAUAUCCCGUGUCUUUUGGGACUCAUACCCAAGGGAAGGACCAACCCCACGUCUUUAGGGACUAAAACCCAAGGGCAGGACCAACCCCAUACACCUACAUCAGAGUGUCUUCCUCGAGGGCUUUAGGGACUUUCACCCACAUAAGUGCUCUCAAUGAUAUGGGGAUACAAUAAUUUAAAUAUUGAGUUCCUUCUUGAUUUUGUGCAAAAGGAGGAUAUGCAAAACCUGUUAUAAAGAGUGCAUCUUGUAUUAAACUUUGUAACUAUUAAUUAACAAAAUAUGUUUCGUUUCACAAAAGAAACUUGUACUACAUUAAUUUGCAUAUACCAAAACCCCAUGGUUCACUACGGGUAGCCCAUACUACAAGUGUACUUAACAAAUAUAUAUAUUAUAUCAUUCCUACAAAAAAGAUUUAGUCUUUAAUACAAAGGCAAAGCCUCAAAACACUAUCAAUGUGAGCAAACAACAUCCAAUCACAAUAAAGCAAUGCUCAAGCAUUAUUUCCUGCAUAGGUCUUCUAACAUGUAUCUAAAGGUGGAAGGGAUAGGGUGAGUUCACAACUCAGUAGGAAAGUUUAUGACCAUCCUAAGCAUACCCUUAAAAACUUUGAAUUAAACAUGUAAUAGUAUGCAUGAUAAACAUUUUAUAAUUAUUAACAAAUAUGCAAUCAUGUCAAACAUGUAUGCAUGUGUUUGCUGGUUUCAUCUUUGCUUUUCCUCGUCCAUUCUUUCACAACUGAUAAAUUGUUCACCCCCACCAAUCUAUAUAUUAGAUAUCAAUGCUCCACAACAUACACGGUCAAUAUAAUAAUGACUAUUCUUAGACCUCACCUAAGGGCAAGUCAUACCCUGUGUCUUUUGGGACUCAUACCCAAGGGUAGACCAACCCCAUACACCCACAUUGGAGUGUCUUCCUCGAGGGCUUUAGAGACUUUCACCCAAGUACCCACCGUCCCACAUAAACAAUAUAUCAAAAGAUAAUGUUUGUAACAUCACAUAAACACUUCCCACCAAUCAAUUCUCUGAAUAUCAUCUGUGAUUAUUCCAUAUCCUUCUGUCAAUACAACCACACCAUGAACCAUUUCCACAACACUAAACCAAAAAUCGUCAUACCAAUAUGCAUUCCAAUCUCAAUGUAACAUUUCAACACAAUAAACCAAAAUGCAAUGACACAUUAAAACAUUUUACGAAAUCAUAGAAAUGACAUGAGAUUUCUAAUAAAUGUUUCAAGAAAAGAAAUCAGAUACAUUAUGGGAUAGCAUAAAAUUCCCUACCUUACACGGACUUUCCCUCUGUGAUUCUUCUAUGUAGGCGAUCUUUACUUAUUACAAGGAACUGAAAUAAAACAACAUAAUUUAGGUUUCUUAACCAUGAAAAUUUAUUCAAUAAAAAUUUAUGAAAUUUUCCUUUCUUACUAAUUUUUAACAACUUAUUGUUAUUAAUUUUUAAUUCUCAUAUUUUCCAAUUAAUUACCAAGCACUAAUUAACCUAAUUAAUCGCAUGUUUACGAAUCUAUAAUACUUAAUCUAAAACACUUUAAUCCUUAAUUAAUUGUGAUUUUUUUAACUAAAACAUGUUUAUAUAAUUAAACUCAACUUUUACACAAAUUUUACCGUGAAUUUGUUUCAACAUACCAUUAGGAACCAAAAAAAAACUAAAUUAAACAACUUGCUUACCUCAAAUCUUCACUUUCUCUCUCUAGAUCCUCUUUUUAACCCAAGCUGUUGCUGGUGAAAUGCUGCAAGCCCCUAUAAAGGUCUCCAUGGAGCCAAAGUAGGAGGUGGCAGGUCACAUGGCUGCCACCAACCCUAACUUUCCAUAAUUGCACUUUAGUCCUCCAAAUUAACCAAUAUUAAACUUACAAUUGCCCAUUAGUCCUUUAGGUUUUCAUAACUCUAAUAAGUCCUUAGGAACCUAAUAAGCGUACUUAAAUCAUUAACUAAUCCUACAUAACCUUAAUUAAAUUUUAAUUCAUAAUUGAACAAGAUUAGCACUAAACUAGCUUUAACAUCUAAUUCAGCACGUUUAAAGUUAAGUACUAAGAUAAUCAUUAUUGCCUAUUUAAUUCAUUAGUGCUAGGUAUUAAUGAAUCCAUCCAAAGUUCGAUCUAUGCUUAUUCAUUUCUUCCUUUUGUUUCUCAUCUUUAGGACACCACCUUAUGUUCUAUCUAUGUCCAUUCUUAGUUCCAAUGGUUUCCCAUCGUUAGGAUGUCGUCUUAGGUUCUAUCUAAGCUUAUUCAAUUGCUCAUCAUUGGAACCCCAUUCUUAUUUCCUUUCAUUUCUCAUCAUCAGGAUGCCAUCCUAGGUUCUAUAUAAGCUUAUUCAUUUGUUCUUUUGACUCAUCAUAAUUGGGACACCGUUCAUGGAUCCAUCUAUCUUCAUCCUUAGGUUCUUCAGUUUUCUGUCAUUGUGAUGUAAUUGUUUUUUCCUUUGGUUUGCCAUAACUGGGACGCCUUUCUAGCUUCUAUCUAUUUUCAAAGUUAGUUCCUUUAGUUUCUGAUCGUGGAGAUCCAAUCUUAGGUUUCUACCUCAGCUUAGUUGGUUGUUUCUUUGGUUUCUCGUUGUUGAAACGCCACCUUAGUUUCUAUUUAUCUAUGUUCAUUCUUAGUUCCUUUGGUUUCCUAACAUUUGGAUUUCGUCCUAGGUUCUGGCUAUGUUUAUUGUUAGUUCCUUUAGUUUCGAAUUAUUGGGAAGCCAUCCAAGGAUCUAUCUAAGGUUAUUUGUUUAGUUUCUCAUCAUUGUGACACCAUCCUAGGUUCUAUGUAUGUUUGUUCUUAAUUCCUUUGGUACCCAAACAUUUGGAUGCCAUCCUAGGUUUUGUCUAUGUUCAUUGAUAGUACCUUUGGUUUCCAAUUAUUGUGAAGUCAUCAUAGGUUCUAUCUAAGGUAAAUUAUUUGUUCUCUAGUUUCAUUUCGUUGCAUUGCCAUUCUAGGUUCUAUGUUUGUUCAUUCUUACUUCCUAAGGUUCCCAUUCAUUAGGAUGUGAUCCGAGUUUUUAUGUCUUCUUAUUUCUUCAUUCCUUUGGUUGUUGAUCAAUGUGAUGCCAUCCUACAAUCUAUAUAUAUUCAUUCGUAGUUCCUUUGGUUUCACAUCACUGGGAUGCCAUCUUAGGUCCUAUCUAAUGUUAUGCAUAUGUUCCUUUGCUUUCUCCUCGUUUCAAUGCCAUCCUAGUUCCUAUCUAUGUUUGUUCUUAGUUCCUUUGGUUUCUAAUUGUUGGGGCAACAUCCUAGUUUCUAUCUAUGUCCAUUGUUAGUUCCUUUGGUUCCCCACCAUUGGGAUGUCAUCCUUUGAUCGCUCAUCAUUGGAACGUCAAUCUUAGUUCUAUCUAUUUUCAUUCUCAGUUCCUUUAGUGUCCUAUCAUUAGGAUGUGAUCCUAGGUUCUAUUUAAGCUUAUUCAUGUGUUCCUUUUAUUCUCAUCACUGAGAUGUCAUUCUGGGUUCUAUAUAUGUUCAAUUUUAGUUACUUUGGUUUCCGAUAGUUGGGAUGCCAUCCUAGGUUCUACCUAAGAUUAGUCAAUUGUUUCUUUGGUUUCUCAUCAUUGUGACACCAUCAAUGGGAUACCAUCCCAAUUUCUAUACAAGGUUUUUAUCUAAAGCUUAUUUCUUCGUUCCUUUUGUUUUUCAUCACCAGAAAGCCA